rnacentral:lncRNA from 1 species
AUGUGCAGAGCCUUCCCCUCCGCUUCCCCAGCCGGGAGAAGACCCUUUGCAAUGCCUCCAGCACCGGUGAGACGAAAUAAAAAUAAUAAUAAAAAUAUUAAAAAUUUAAAAAAAGCCUUCGUGCGCCAUCCCGGGAGGAAACCACCCGGCUCAGCGCGGCACCCAUCGGAAGCGGUACCCUCCGGCGGCCGUGCGCAGGGUGAAGGCGUUUCCCUGCGGGAAGGACAGCGUGCGGAUGCCGCCCUCCUCCCCGAGGGCUGCCCGCAGGCUGCCGGCCCCCGGCAGCUCCCCCCGGCCGCCGUCGGAGGGGCGCGGAGGGGCGCGGGCGGGGCGCAGCCCGCGGAAGGCGCCGUGCAGGCGGGGCCGCUUGGCCGGGGGGCUCCCCGCCAGGCUGCGCAGCGCGGCGCGGCACUGCUCCGACACCGAGCGCAGCAUCGGGCCCACCCCCGCCGCCCCCUCGCUGCCGGCGGCGGGAUGAGGAGGAGGAGAAGGAAGAAGAGGAGGAGGAGGAAGGGCCGCCCCGUCGGGGCACUGCGGGAGCAUCAGCUUCUGCCGGGGAGAGAAAGAGACGGCGCGGCUUCAGGGGGCUGCCCCGCUCCGCCGCCACCCUGCUCGGCCCCGACGCCCCCCCCCAGCACGGCCCCGACCCGGCUCCCCCCCCGGCCCCGCGGCGGCAGCACUCACGUCGAGGACGGCGGCCAGCUGCCGGGCCUGGCUCGCCAGCUCCUUCAGCUGCACGUUGCUCUCCCGCAGCGUCGCCAGCUCCUCCUGCCUCUGCGCCAGGGUCUCCUGCAGCUGCGGGCACAAGAUGGGGACACCCCGCUCGGGGCGCCGUGCAGCCUCCCCGUCGGGGGGACAAAGGGCAGGGAAAGCCCCCUGGGCCCUACCUGGCUGUUCUCCUCCAGAGCCUCCCCCAGCGCCCGCUGGUGCCGCUCGGCCGCGUCCUGCCAGCACGGCUCGGGGGGCUCCGGGCACGUCGGGGGGCACCGCGGCGCCGCCCCGAUCCCCAUCUGCGGGGCGCAGGGGCCGCACGUCGCCUCCUCGCCCAGGGACAGGUCGAAGUCGGGGCAGUCCAGCGGCGGCGGCAUCAGGGCGGAGGCUUCCAGGGGGAAAACCCGAGGGUGUUAG